UACGUAGGGUGCGAGCGUUGUCCGGAAUUAUUGGGCGGAAAGGGCUCGUAGGCGGUUCGUCACGUCGGGAGUGAAAACUCGGAGCUUAACUCCGAGCCUGCUUCCGAUACGGGCAGACUAGAGGUAGGCAGGGGAGAGCGGAACUCCUGGUGUAGCGGUGGAAUGCGCAGAUAUCAGGAAGAACACCGGUGGCGAAGGCGGCUUUCUGGGACGGUACUGACGCUGAGACGCGAAAGCGUGGGGAGCGAACAGG
rnacentral:rRNA from 1 species